UGGGGAAUUUUGGACAAUGGGCGCAAGCCUGAUCCAGCCAUGCCGCGUGAGUGAAGAAGGCCUUCGGGUUGUAAAGCUCUUUCGGCCGGGAAGAAAUCGGUUGGGUUAAUACCCCAGCUGGAUGACGGUACCGGAAUAAGAAGCACCGGCUAACUACGUGCCAGCAGCCGCGGUAAUACGUAGGGUGCGAGCGUUAAUCGGAAUUACUGGGCGUAAAGCGUGCGCAGGCGGUUUUUUAAGAUAGGCGUGAAAUCCCCGGGCUCAACCUGGGAACUGCGCUUAUGACUGGAAGACUAGAGUAUGGCAGAGGGGGGUGGAAUUCCACGUGUAGCAGUGAAAUGCGUAGAGAUGUGGAGGAACACCGAUGGCGAAGGCAGCCCCCUGGGCCAAUACUGACGCUCAUGCACGAAAGCGUGGGGAGCAAACAGG
rnacentral:rRNA from 1 species